rnacentral:rRNA from 1 species
GUGCCAGCCGCUGCGGUAAUACAGAGGUCUCAAGCGUUGUUCGGAUUUACUGGGCGUAAAGGGUGCGUAGGUGGCGGUGUAAGUUGAGUGUGAAAUCCCGGGCUUAACCUCGGAACUGCACUCAAUACUGCAUUGCUUGAGGAUUGUAGAGGAGACUGGAAUUCACGGUGUAGCAGUGAAAUGCGUAGAGAUCGUGAGGAAGACCAGUGGCGAAGGCGAGUCUCUGGGCAAUUCCUGACACUGAGGCACGAAGGCCCAGGGGAGCAAACGGGAUUA